rnacentral:rRNA from 1 species
CGCCUGUUUUUCAAAAACAUCGCCUCUUGUAAACCAAAUAUAAGAGGUCCCGCCUGCCCAGUGACAACAAGUUAAACGGCCGCGGUAUUUUGACCGUGCAAAGGUAGCGCAAUCACUUGUCUUUUAAAUGAAGACCCGUAUGAAUGGCACAACGAGGGCCUAACUGUCUCCUUUUUCAAGUCAAUGAAAUUGAUCUCCCCGUGCAGAAGCGGGGAUAAUAACAUAAGACGAGAAGACCCUAUGGAGCUUUAGACACUAGAGCAGACCUUGUUAAACUAACUCUAAACAAAGAACUAAACCAAAAGGAUCCUGCCCACAUGUCUUUGGUUGGGGCGACCGCGGGGAACACAAAACCCCCAUGUGGAACGGGAGAACUCCUCCCACAACCAAGAGCUACAGCUCUAAGCAAUAGAAUUUCUAACCAAAAUGAUCCGGCAAUGCCGAUCAACGGACCGAGUUACCCUAGGGAUAACAGCGCAAUCCCCUUCUAGAGCCCAUAUCGACAAGGGGGUUUACGACCUCGAUGUUGGAUCAGGACACCCUAAUGGUGCAGCCGCUAUUAAGGGUUCGUUUGUUCAACGAUUAAAGUCCUACGUGAUCUGAGUUCCAGAC